UACGUAGGGUGCGAGCGUUAAUCGGAAUUACUGGGCGUAAAGCGUGCGCAGGCGGUUUUGUAAGUCAGAUGUGAAAUCCCCGGGCUCAACCUGGGAACUGCGUUUGAAACUACAAGGCUAGAGUGUAGCAGAGGGGGGGUAGAAUUCCACGUGUAGCAGUGAAAUGCGUAGAGAUGUGGAGGAAUACCAAUGGCGAAGGCAGCCCCCUGGGUUAACACUGACGCUCAUGCACGAA
rnacentral:rRNA from 1 species